rnacentral:rRNA from 1 species
AAGGAAUAUUGGUCAAUGGACGCAAGUCUGAACCAGCCAUGCCGCGUGAAGGAUGAAGGUCCUCUGGAUUGUAAACUUCUUUUAUCUGGGACGAAAACGGGAUUUUUAUCUCAAUUGACGGUACCAGAGGAAUAAGCACCGGCUAACUCCGUGCCAGCAGCCGCGGUAAUACGGAGGGUGCGAGCGUUAUCCGGAUUUACUGGGUUUAAAGGGUGCGUAGGUGGGCUUAUAAGUCAGUGGUGAAAUCUCCGAGCUUAACUUGGAAACUGCCGUUGAUACUAUAGGUCUUGAAUUAUCUGGAGGUCAGCGGAAUAUGUCAUGUCGCGGUGAAAUGCUUAGAUAUGACAUAGAACACCAAUUGCGAAGGCAGCUUACUACAUAUAAAUUGACGCUGAGGCACGAAAGCGUGGGGAUCAAACA